rnacentral:rRNA from 1 species
GGUUAAGCUGGACUGCUGCGGCUACCGUGGAUGCCCGCAGUCAGAGGCGAUGAAGGACGCUAAUCUGCGAUAAGCGUCGGUGGCAGAUAUGAACCGUUAUAACCGGCGAUUCGAAUGGGGAAACCCAGUGCUCUUUGACACUAUCAUUAAUCAAAUCCAUAGGCUAAUGAGGCGAACCAGAACUGGAAACAUCUAGUACCCCGAGGAAAAGAAAUCAACCGAGAUUCCCAGUAGCGGCGAGCGAACGGAGCAGCCCAGAGCCUCCGAAUCAGUAUUACGCGUGUGUUAGUGGAAGGUCUGAAAGGCGGCGCGAUGCUAGGCGACAGCCCCGUACAAAAAUGCACAUAUUGUGAGUCCGUGAUGAGCAGGCGGGCCACGCGGUAUCCUGUCUGAAUGGGGACCAUCCCACAAAUACCUGACUGACCGAUAGUGAACCAGUACCGUGAGGGAAAGGCGAAAAAGAACCCCAUGUGAGGGAGUGAAAAAGAACCCGAAACCGUGUACAAGCAGUGGGAGCACGCCAGUGGACUGCGUACCUUUGUAUAACGGGUCAUGACUAUAUAUCUGCAGCAAGGUUAACUGAAUAGGAGCUGAAGGGAAACUGAGUCUCAACGGCGCGCAGUUGCAGGGUAUAGACCCGAAACCCGCGAUUCAGCCAUGGGUGGUUGAAGGUUGGUAACAUCUAACUGGAGGACCGAACCGACUAAUGUUGAAAACGGUGACAAUUUGGUGGCUGUGGGGUGAAAGGCCAAUCAAACUGGGAGAUAGUUGGUUCUCCCCGAAAGUUAUUUAGGUAUGCCUUCGUGAAUUCAUCAUCCUCCGGGUAGAGCACUGCUCGCUAAGUAUCCUGACUUACCAAAUCCUGCUACGCAAACUAUACUGGAGAAUGUUAUCACGGGAGUAUUGGCCACGGCGGUGCGCAUCGUCCGUCGUGAAGAGGGAAACAACCCAGACCGCCAGCUAAGGUCCCAAAGCCUGGUUGUUUUUCGCUAUGGAAACGAUGGGAAGGCCCAGACAGCCGUGAUGUUGGCUUGUAGCCAGCCAUCAUUUAAAGAAAGCGUAAUAGCUCAAUUGGUCGAGUCGGUCUGCGCGGAAGAUGUAACGAAGUAAACCAUGCACCGAAGCUGCGGCAGCGACGCAGGUAUGGUUGGGUAGGGGAGCGUUCUGUAAGCCCGCGUGAAGGUGCGCUGUGAGGUAUGCUGGAGGUAUCAGAAGUGCGAAUAGUUGACAUAAGUAACGAUAAAGGGCGAAAAGUCUGCCUGCCGGAAGACCAAGUGGUUCCCUAUCCAACGUUAAUCGGUGAGCUGUGACUUCUGGCGAGGCUGGCCGGCGCAGUCGAUGGGAAACAGGUUAAUAUUCCCGUACUUGGUGUUACCGCGAAGUUGGGGACGGAAGGCUAUGUUGGCUGGCGACGGCUGUCCUGGUUUAAGCGUGUAGGCUUGGUUUUCCGGUAAACUGGAAAUCAUCAAGGCUGAGUAUGCGGAUGACGAGGCACUACGGUGCUGAAGCAACAAAAUGCCCGCUUCCGUGAAAGCCCUCUCUAAGCACUGUAGGGUAACAUCAAAUCGUACCCAAACCGGACACAGGUGGCUUCGUAGAGAAUACCAAGGCGCUAUUUGAGAGAACUCGGUGAAGGAAUCCAGGCAAAAUGGCGCCAAAAUCCCCGGAGAAGGUACGCUGAUAUGUAGGUGAAGUCCGCGGAUGGUUGAAAUCAUCAAGAUACCAGCUGGCUGCAACUGUUUAUUAAAAACACAGCACCUGUGCAAACACGAAAGUGGACGUAUACGGUGUGACGCCCGGUGCCGGGUUGCUAAUUGAUUGAUUUAAGCUAGCCGCAAGGCGAAGCCUUUGAUCGAAGCCCCGGUAAACGUUACCGUAACUAUAACGGUAUCCCAUAGAAGGAAAUCUCUUGUCGGGUAGUCUUGACCCGUACGAAUGGCGCGUAAUGAUGGCCGUGCUGUUCCACCUGAGACUCCAGUGAAAUUGAACUCGCUGUGAAGAUGAAAAAUUCCGCGGUAAGACGGAAAAGACCUCCUGAACCUUUACUAUAGCUUGACACCGGAAAUAUCAUUGAGCCUGAUGUGUAGGAUAGGUGGAGGCUUAGAAGUGUGGACGCCAGUCUGCAUGGAGCCGACCUUGAAAUACCACCCUUUAAUGUUUGAUGUUCUAACGUUGACCCGUAAUCCGAGUUGCGGACAGUGUCUGGUGGGUAGUUUGAUCAGCGGUCUCCCAAAGAUAACGGAGGAGCACGAAGGUUGGCUAACUCUCGGUCGGACAUCAAUGGUGGCGGUUAGUGCAAUGGCAUAAGCCAGCUUGACUGCGAGCGUGACGGCGCGAGCAGGUGCGAAAGCAGGUCAUAGUGAUCCGGUGGUUCUUCGGAAUGGAAGGGCCAUCGCUCAACGGAUAAAAGGUACUCCGGGGAUAACAGGCUGAUACUCGCCUAAGAGUUCAUAUAUAUCGACGGCGGCGGUGUUUGGCACCUCGAUGCUGGUCACAUCCUGGGGCUGGCGAUCCCAAGGGUACAGCCGUUUGCCAUUUGGAAGUGGUACGCGAGCUAAGUCGAAACGUCGUGACAGUUUGGUCCCUAUCUGCCGUGGGCGCUGGAGAACUGAGGGGCUGCCCUGUUAGUGACCGGAGUGGACGCAUCACUCGGUGUUCGCUGUCGCCAAUGGUAACUGGUUCGGUGAAGCAAAUGCGGAAGAGAUAAGUGCUGAAAGCAUCUAAGCACGAAACUUGCCCUGAGAUGAGUUCUCCUGACUCCUUUGAGAGUCCCAAGGAACGUUGAAGACGACGACGUUGAUAGGCCGGGUGUGUAAGCGCAGCGAUGCGUUGAGCUAACCGGUACUAAUGAACCGUGAGGCUUAACCUUACAACGCCGAAGGUGUUU